rnacentral:rRNA from 1 species
GAGUUUGAUUUGGCUCAGGAUGAACGCUAGCGGGAGGCUUAACACAUGCAAGUCGAGGGGCAGCACAAUGUAGUAAUAUAUGGUGGCGACCGGCGCACGGGUGAGUAACGCGUAUGCAACCUGCCUUUUACUGGGGGAUAGCCCGAAGAAAUUCGGAUUAAUACCCCAUAAUAAUAUUUGAGUGGCAUCACUUAAUAUUUAAAGAUUUAUCGGUAAAGGAUGGGCAUGCGUAACAUUAGGUAGUUGGUAGGGUAACGGCCUACCAAGCCGACGAUGUUUAGGGGUCCUGAGAGGGUGAUCCCCCACACUGGUACUGAGACACGGACCAGACUCCUACGGGAGGCAGCAGUGAGGAAUAUUGGUCAAUGGUCGAGAGACUGAACCAGCCAUCCCGCGUGAAGGAAGACGGCCUUAUGGGUUGUAAACUUCUUUUCCGGAGGAAUAAAAUAUUGUAUGUAUACGAUACUGAAGGUACUUCGGGAAUAAGCAUCGGCUAACUCCGUGCCAGCAGCCGCGGUAAUACGGAGGAUGCGAGCGUUAUCCGGAUUUAUUGGGUUUAAAGGGUGCGUAGGCGGGCAAA